rnacentral:rRNA from 1 species
UACGUAGGGGGCAAGCGUUGUCCGGAAUUAUUGGGCGUAAAGAGCGCGUAGGCGGUCCGAUAAGUCGGCUGUGAAAGUCAGGGGCUCAACCCUUGAAAGCCGGCCGAUACUGUCGGACUAGAGUCCGGAAGAGGCAAGUGGAAUUCCCGGUGUAGCGGUGAAAUGCGCAGAUAUCGGGAGGAACACCAAUGGCGAAGGCAGCUUGCUGGGACGGUACUGACGCUGAGGCGCGA